rnacentral:rRNA from 1 species
UACGAAGGGGGCUAGCGUUGCUCGGAAUCACUGGGCGUAAAGCGCACGUAGGCGGCUUUCUAAGUCAGGGGUGAAAUCCUGGAGCUCAACUCCAGAACUGCCUUUGAUACUGGGAAGCUCGAGUCCGGAAGAGGUAAGUGGAACUCCGAGUGUAGAGGUGAAAUUCGUAGAUAUUCGCAAGAACACCAGUGGCGAAGGCGGCUCACUGGCCCGAUACUGACGCUGAGGCACGAAAGCGUGGGGAGCAAACAGG